ensembl:ncRNA F55A12.11 ncRNA
ACGAAGCGCCGAAUGUGCAGAUGCACAGAAUACUACGACAGUGAACUUUUUGAAAAACGAAGUGCUUCGCCGGAAAUUUCCGUUCGAUUUUUUCAUUUUUCGUUGGUUUUCCUUCAAAUUUACUGAAUUUUUAUUUUUUUACAACAUUCAUUUUGUUCUAAACAGUUAUUUCUGUGCUAAAUUCAUAUAUUUAACUCGCCUGCCUAUCAAAAAAUCAUUGUG